rnacentral:snoRNA from 1 species
CCCGCCACUGCACCUGACCAUAUUGUUGGCUGGUGCAAUCCAGUGGUGAGCUGACAGUAAGCCCCAGCUUUUAGGAAACAGGGUUGUCCUACAUGUGGAUGACUCUGUGCCGAAAGCAUGGGAACAGCC